rnacentral:lncRNA from 1 species
CCAAUAUCAUCUUUCCCAUUUCUUUCUAUUUCCAACCGAAAACUCCAUUGUUGUUAGCUAAGGAAGCUUUGGCCUUGCAUAAACUCAUGCAUGUAAGUCAAUUUCACACUUAUUUUGUAUGAAUUUUAUGUUUUUGAAAUUGUUGUAGCUUAAUUUAGCUAGUCUAGAAACUAUUUUGAAAUAUUUUCAAAGUUUUGAAAACUUUCCAUUAAUGUUCUUGAAGCUUUUUAGAUGUUAAUGCUUGAGUUUGAAGUUUGAUGAUGAAAUAGGACAAUUUUGUAAAGUGAUUUUGAAUAGGUUUUAAGUUUAGGGAUUAAAUCAAAGUAUGUUAAAUUUGUCAUGGGUUUCUUGCGAAAUUUCAAUACUUGAGGGUUGUAUAGGGAUGGAUAUGAAUUCAACAUGUUAGCCUAGGGCUUAAUUGUGAAAAAUAAGCUUGUUUUGGUUUUAGGGAUUAAAUUGAACAAAAUGCAAAAAUUUAGAAAAAUUGUGAAAAUAUUAAUAGGAAGGGAAGCCUACAAGUUUGGCACUCGAUGUCCAGGCGUGUUUUGGAGGGAUGUUAGCCUUCGGGCUAGGCACUCAAUACUCAGACGUGCUCUUGGUUGGAUUAUCUCGAUUAAGCAUUCUAGCGUGUCUUGGAUGGAUAACCGCAUAUCUGUAUCUGUUCAUAUUGGUUCAUCGGGCUGAAUAGUGAUUUUUAAUUGGUAUAAUGGCUUAUAUUGAUGUGUGGUAAUAAUGCCUUGAUGAAUGAAUUGUAAAUGUGCUCAAACUUAUCGAUAUUAUAUUGUGACUUGGUAUUGAAUGAACUUGUAUAGCUUGAAUGAUAUAUUACUUGCAUAAAAUGAACUCACCCAUUGGAAAUGGUUGUGUUGACAGGACUAAGUGCUUCUUCAUUUUGUUAAUUUUAAAUUGUGACAUUAAGGUAUGUUAUAUUGUUUUUUUUUCGAUAUAUGAACUUACUAAGCUCAAUUAAGUUUUCUCUAUUUGGUUUUCCUGUAGUGGAAUUAAGCGAUCGGAUCACCUAAAAGAUCACACUAUCCAACUAUCUUUUGAUAGACUUUGAAAACAUUAUAUUUUGGUUUUGUGGCAUGUAGUAGGAGUAUUUGGUAUAGGUACUUAAGUGUUCAUCAAAAUAUAUAUGUUGUGUUAG